rnacentral:rRNA from 1 species
CAGGCCUAACACAUGCAAGUCGAGCGGAUGACGGGAGCUUGCUUCCUGAUUCAGCGGCGGACGGGUGAGUAAUGCCUAGGAAUCUGCCUAUUAGUGGGGACAACGUUUCGAAAGGAACGCUAAUACCGCAUACGUCCUACGGGAGAAAGUGGGGAUCUUCGGACCUCACGCUAUCAGAUGAGCCUAGGUCGGAUUAGCUAGUUGGCGAGGUAAAGGCUCACCAAGGCGACGAUCCGUAACUGGUCUGAGAGGAUGAUCAGUCACACUGGAACUGAGACACGGUCCAGACUCUACGGGAGGCAGCAGUGGGGAAUAUUGGACAAUGGGCGAAAGCCUGAUCCAGCCAUGCCGCGUGUGUGAAGAAGGUCUUCGGAUUGUAAAGCACUUUAAGUUUGGGAGGAAGGGCAGUAAGUUUAAUACCUUACUGUUUUGACGUUACCGACAGAAUAAGCACCGGCUAACUUCGUGCCAGCAGCCGCGGUAAU